CAUAACAUAAUGCAACAGGGUCAAAUGUCACUGGUUUCAGAGAUUUAUUUUCUUAAAGAGACAGAGCACUCUCUGAAGACAUUUGCACAUUUUUUUACACAGCAAUGAGCUUAGCUUACAUUACAGUGAACCGCUAUAUCACCAAGAUAUGGGAGGUAAAGCCAAACAAAACGAGAAGAAAAAACAAUGCAGCUACAUUUAGUGUUCUUGAGCAAAAUAUAACAAAAUUUAAAUAUAA